rnacentral:rRNA from 1 species
UACAGAGGUCUCAAGCGUUGUUCGGAUUCAUUGGGCGUAAAGGGUGCGUAGGCGGGCUUUUAAGUCAGUGGUGAAAACUCCGAGCUUAACUCGGAAACUGCCAUUGAUACUAUUAGUCUUGAAUUUAGUUGAGGUUGGCGGAAUGUGUCGUGUAGCGGUGAAAUGCUUAGAUAUGACACAGAACACCGAUUGCGAAGGCAGCUGGCUAAACUAAAAUUGACGCUGAGGCACGAAAGUGUGGGGAUCAAACAGG